GCCUGGGUGGCUCAGUCGGUUAAGCGUCUGACUUCAGCUCAGGUCACGAUCUCGCGGUCCGUGAGUUCGAGCCCCUCGUCGGGCU
rfam:Felis catus isolate Cinnamon breed Abyssinian chromosome A3, whole genome shotgun sequence.